rnacentral:rRNA from 1 species
ACUCCUACGGGAGGCAGCAGUGGGGAAUCUUAGACAAUGGGCGCAAGCCUGAUCUAGCCAUGCCGCGUGAGUGACGAAGGCCCUAGGGUCGUAAAGCUCUUUCAACGGUGAAGAUAAUGACGGUAGCCGUAGAAGAAACCCCGGCUAACUCCGUGCCAGCAGCCGCGGUAAUACGGAGGGGGUUAGCGUUGUUCGGAAUUACUGGGCGUAAAGCGCGCGUAGGCGGAUUGGAAAGUUGGGGUGAAAUCCCGCGGCUCAACCCCGGAACUGCCUUCAAAACUACCAGUCUAGAGUUCGAGAGAGGUGAGUGGAAUUCCGAGUGUAGAGGUGAAAUUCGUAGAUAUUCGGAGGAACACCAGUGGCGAAGGCGGCUCACUGGCUCGAUACUGACGCUGAGGUGCGAAAGUGUGGGGAGCAAACAGGAUUAGAUACCCUGGUAGGCUCUGC